rnacentral:lncRNA from 1 species
AAAUUUAAUACUUUCGUGAAGUGCUUUUGUUAAAUACAUAAUCCUCCCACAUGUACAAAAUGUACUUUAAAUAGAAAGGAAAUUACAAAUAGCAUAGUAUAUUACAUGUAAUAGUUUAAUAGUAUUAAAAAGUCUUAUGCCAAAAAACACUUGAAAUAAUUCAGGGUCAAUUUAGGCCCUAGCACAUACAUUGAAUUUACAUUUU